GUGCUCAGCUCAGCAGUGCAUAUAUUAAAAUUAGAACAACACGAUGAAGACUAGCAUGGGCCCUGCACAAGGAUGACAUGCAAAUUCGUGAAGUGUUCCAUGUUUUU
ensembl:snRNA U6 U6 spliceosomal RNA